CCUACGGGGGGCAGCAGUGAGGAAUAUUGGUCAAUGGCCGAGAGGCUGAACCAGCCAAGUCGCGUGAGGGAAGACGGCCCUACGGGUUGUAAACCUCUUUUGUCGGGGAGCAAAGCGAGUCACGUGUGACCCAUUGAGAGUACCCGAAGAAAAAGCAUCGGCUAACUCCGUGCCAGCAGCCGCGGUAAUACGGAGGAUGCGAGCGUUAUCCGGAUUUAUUGGGUGUAAAGGGAGCGUAGACGGUUAUGUAAGUCUGGAGUGAAAGUCCGGGGCCCAACCCCGGGACUGCUUUGGAAACUGUGUAACUGGAGUACAGGAGGGGCAGGCGGAAUGCCUGGUGUAGCGGUGAAAUGCGUAGAUAUCAGGAGGAACACCGGCGGCGAAGGCGGCCUGCUGGACUGAAACUGACGUUGAGGCUCGAAAGCGUGGGGAGCAAACAGGAUUAGAUACCCCAGUAGUC
rnacentral:rRNA from 1 species